rnacentral:rRNA from 1 species
CCUACGGGGGGCUGCAGUGGGGAAUAUUGGACAAUGGGCGAAAGCCUGAUCCAGCCAUGCCGCGUGUGUGAAGAAGGCCUUCGGGUUGUAAAGCACUUUCAUUGGGGAAGAAAGCCUUGGGGCUAAUACCCUCGAGGAAGGACAUCACCCACAGAAGAAGCACCGGCUAACUCCGUGCCAGCAGCCGCGGUAAUACGGAGGGUGCGAGCGUUAAUCGGAAUUACUGGGCGUAAAGCGCGCGUAGGCGGUCUGAUAAGCCGGUUGUGAAAGCCCCGGGCUCAACCUGGGAACGGCAUCCGGAACUGUCAGGCUAGAGUGCAGGAGAGGAAGGUAGAAUUCCCUGUGUAGCGGUGAAAUGCGUAGAGAUCGGGAGGAAUACCAGUGGCGAAGGCGGCCUUCUGGACUGACACUGACGCUGAGGUGCGAAAGCGUGGGUAGCAAACAGGAUUAGAUACCCUAGUAGUC